GCAAACUUGGUCAUUUAGAGGAAGUAAAAGUCGUAACAAGGUUUCCGUAGGUGAACCUGCGGAAGGAUCAUUAAUGAGUUAGGGUCUCUCUAGCCCGACCUCCCAACCCUAUGUUUACUCAACUAUUGUUGCUUUGGUGAGCCCGCCCAUUAGUGGCCGCCGGGGGACUAGUAUUGUUCCCUGGCCCGUGCUUACCAACAGCCUAAUUUUACCAAACUCUUCAAUUAAAACGUGUCUCUUCUAAGUAUCAAAUGUUAAUUAAAGCAAAACUUUCAACAACGGAUCUCUUGGUUCUGGCAUCGAUGAAGAACGCAGC
rnacentral:misc_RNA from 1 species